GACGAACGCUGGCGGCGUGCUUAACACAUGCAAGUCGAGCGGUAAGGCCCUUUCGGGGGUACACGAGCGGCGAACGGGUGAGUAACACGUGGGUGACCUGCCUUCAGCUCUGGGAUAAGCCUGGGAAACUGGGUCUAAUACCGGAUAUGACUCCAUGAUGCAUGUUGUGGGGUGGAAAGCUUUUGCGGCUGGAGAUGGGCCCGCGGCCUAUCAGCUUGUUGGUGGGGUGAUGGCCUACCAAGGCGA
rnacentral:rRNA from 1 species